rnacentral:rRNA from 1 species
UGAGGAAUAUUGCGCAAUGGGGGCAACCCUGACGCAGCGACGCCGCGUGAGUGAGGAAGGCCUUCGGGUCGUAAAGCUCUGUCAAAGGGAAAGAAGUGUGCAAUGGCUAAUACCUGUUGCAUUUGACGGUACCCUUAAAGGAAGCACCGGCUAACUCCGUGCCAGCAGCCGCGGUAAUACGGAGGGUGCAAGCGUUGUUCGGAAUCACUGGGCGUAAAGGGCGCGCAGGCGGUUUGAUAAGUCAGAUGUGAAAGCCCAUGGCUCAACCUGGGAAGUGCAUUGGAAACUGGCAGACUUGAAUACGGGAGAGGGUAGUGGAAUUCCUGGUGUAGGAGUGAAAUCCGUAGAUAUCAGGAGGAACACCGGUGGCGAAGGCGGCUGCCUGGACCGAUAUUGACGCUGAGACGCGAAAGCGUGGGUAGCAAACA